rnacentral:rRNA from 1 species
AGUGAACGCUGGCGGUAUGCCUAACACAUGCAAGUCGAACGGCAGCACAGUAAGAGCUUGCUCUUACGGGUGGCGAGUGGCGGACGGGUGAGGAAUACAUCGGAAUCUACUUUUUCGUGGGGGAUAACGUGGGGAAACUUACGCUAAUACCGCAUACGACCUACGGGUGAACGCAGUGGAUCUUCGGACCUUGCGCGAUUGAAUGAGCCGGUGUCGGAUUAGCUAGUUGGCGGGGUAAAGACCCACCAAGGCGACGAUCCGUAGCUGGUCUGAGAGGAUGAUCAGCCACACUGGAACUGAGACACGGUCCAGACUCCUACGGGAGGCAGCAGUGGGGAAUAUUGGACAAUGGGCGCAAGCCUGAUACAGCCAUACCGCGUGGGUGAAGAAGGCCUUCGGGUUGUAAAGCCCUUUUGUUGGGAAAGAAAAGCAGCAGGUUAAUACCCCGCUGUUCUGACGGUACCCAAAGAAUAAGCACCGGCUAACUUCGUG